ensembl:lncRNA
GUAUUUUUUUAAAGUAGAAAAUUUGUCCGUUUUUCUAGUUAUUUCUUAACCAGAGGUGGUAAAAUGAUAUAAAUUUUCAAUUUUCCUUUUUGUUGCCCCCAAACAGACCUAAUAUUCUUCAAAGACUGAAGAGCAGUAACCUAAUAGUCAGAUUGGAUAAUCACACACAAAUUUUUAAAACAGGACUAUCAGUGCUCUAAUGAGGAAAAGUCUAGAUAGCAUGUCAUAGAAUUAAACUUAUCUUGAAUGGGGGAAUUAUUUCAUAUAAAAAAGUAUAACUACAGUGCUCACUCUCCAAUAAUCGGAGCUGCCUCAACAGUCAGUGGUGUUGGAUGCUAAGGGUAUUCAGCAGCGCAGAAGAGUUGCUCAGUAUCUUUUAUGACAUGAACCUUAAUUUCUUAAGGUAAGAAGCAUAUUUAUUCAAACAAAUAAUUAUAUUUGCCUUAGAAAUAAUGGCACUUUGACUUAAUUGAGGGUGCGUAAGAUCUGAAUUUUAUAUCUAGUCAUCCCUCAAAAAGACAGCCGAUGUAGAGAAGUUUGAAUGGAGCAAGCACCACAUGAAACGAGGUCAACAGGCAAACAGAAAUUCACCUGUCUGGAAAUUGUGUGUUACCUUUGUAAUAUCUAAAAGGCAAUCAGUAAGUAGGAAUCAUGAAGUAUGACUUUCGUAGAGAACUAGAUCUAGCAAUUAAUUAUAUGUCACGGCUUAAAAAUCAGAAAACUGCUUAUGCCCAUUGCCAGUCAUUCACUCCCUGUCAGUAGUAGUUCACAUCUUUCCUGGGAUGGCAUCCAACCAUAGUGGCGUCUAAAAUAUAGCAGGCUAUAUUGUUACAGUUGGAGGUGAAAUCGAAAGUUGCACCAAACAGAAGUGACAAAUUCACAUUGCUCAGUGUUGCCUAGCAAUAAGAGAUGAGUUUAUUAUGAACGCUGACUCUCUCCAUCGCAAAGGGGCUUUGUAUCUGCGCUGAAAUGCCACUAUUCUUGCAGACAAGGGGUAAAAAUGGAGUGGGCAGAAAGAAGAAAAGCACUCGUAGCAGUUGUGAGUCCCUUCCGAACUCCAGGGUUCCUCGCUGUCCCUCAGCCACAGCUCAGGAAGGGAAAGGCAGAGGCUGCCCCCAGCUGAACUCUCGACAUCAGCCAGAUUCAACGUGUUGCAAACAAGCAUAUUCCACCUGUUACAACAAUCUGGCAUAUUACUUUCUUGAUACGUGAUGAUACAAUACCUCUCAGGUUUGCUGAGUAGCAAAGAGAAAUGUAAGCAAAUGAAAAGGUUUUCCACUUUCACAGGUUUUUGCUGCUUAGGGUUCUGUUUGUCUGAGAACCGUAUGAAUAGAAGCCAUAUUUUAUAGUAUUUCUUUAACCUCUGCCAUCUGGUGUAGGUUAGUUUUUCCACUGCCAACGUUUCCUAGAGGCCUCAAUACCAAAAUGUUUAAUUUCUAAGUAAACGUUUGGACUUUAUAAAUCCAGUUUAAAAAAAUAAGGCAUUAUUUUAUUUAACUGUGUAUUACAUUUACCUCUAGUGAUGACAUUAAUAAACACACAGACAAGUGUUUGGGUUUAAAGGCU